CAGCCGCCGCGGUAAUACGGAGGGUGCAAGCGUUAAUUGGAAUUACUGGGCGUAAAGCGCACGCAGGCGGUCUGUCAAGUCAGAUGUGAAAUCCCCGGGCUUAACCUGGGAACUGCAUUUGAAACUGGCAGGCUAGAGUCUUGUAGAGGGGGGUAGAAUUCCAGGUGUAGCGGUGAAAUGCGUAGAGAUCUGGAGGAAUACCGGUGGCGAAGGCGGCCCCCUGGACAAAGACUGACGCUCAGGUGCGAAAGCGUGGGGAGCAAACAGGAUUAGAUACCCCAGUAGUCCCUGUCUCUUAUAC
rnacentral:rRNA from 1 species